rnacentral:rRNA from 1 species
UACGUAAGGUGCGAGCGUUGUCCGGAAUUAUUGGGCGUAAAGAGCUUGUAGGCGGUUUGUCGCGUCUGCCGUGAAAUUUCGAGGCUCAACCUCGAACUUGCGGUGGGUACGGGCAGACUAGAGUGUGGUAGGGGAGACUGGAAUUCCUGGUGUAGCGGUGAAAUGCGCAGAUAUCAGGAGGAACACCGAUGGCGAAGGCAGGUCUCUGGGCCACUACUGACGCUGAGAAGCGAAAGCAUGGGGAGCGAACAGG